ACGAACGUUGGCGGCACGCUUAACACAUGCAAGUCGAACGAGAAACCCGAGCUUGCUCGGGUGGACAGUGGCAGACGGCUUAGUAACGCGUGGGUAUCUACCUAGAGGUUUGGAACAACUAUUGGAAACGAUAGCUAAUACCAAAUAUUCCCUAAGGGGGAAAGAUUUAUCGCCUUUAGAUGAGCCCGCGUUAGAUUAGAUAGUUGGUGGGGUAAUGGCCUACCAAGUCUACGAUCUAUAGCUGGUUUGAGAGGAUGAUCAGCAACACUGGGACUGAGACACGGCCCAGACUCCUACGGGAGGCAGCAGUGGGGAAUCUUAG
rnacentral:rRNA from 1 species